GUUUUAAUAAUUUAAAAAAAAUAAUGAUUUUGUAAAUCAAAUAUAGGUUUUUAUUACCUUUAAAAUA
rnacentral:tRNA from 1 species